CACCCCCCAAAAAAAAAAAUUAAAAAAAAAAAUUCACCCAAAGAAGUGGGCUUUAAACCCGUUUACUUUUGUUCUCCAUGGUUUUCAACUUAAAUACAUCGUUUCUGUUGAGAUCAGUUUCUCAAGAUUCUAAUUAUUAGCACAUAAGAAAUCUGAGUUUAUGCCUAACUAAAAUUGCAAGACGUACAUACUCAAAAUUUUCUUCCCCUUAUUUAGUAGUGUUAUCCUUAUUGUAGGAACUUUGCCUUUAAAUACUCUCAUUAACCAUCAUUUGUUAAGACAUAAUCUCUACCAGAAAUUCUGCAAAUUCAAGGGACUAUUGCGAUUGAUCUCAUCUUUUCCAAGCUUCAAAAGACAGUAUAACCUUGUUAGCAGGGGCAGAAUUCGAUUGCUUGCUAGUACUUCAACAGCCUCAAGACAGCUAAGAGUUCCUGAUAGGAAUCUGGCACCAACUCAAAAUUCCCAGCAGGAAAAAAGAUCUCCGUGAACUAGGAACCACUGAAUGACUCCGCCCAGAGCGAUGACCUGGACUGACCUCGGAGUCGGAGUGGUCAGUGGCUCACUAGCACCUGCGGGCAAGUUAGCAGGUGCUGGAGACCAUAAAAUACAAAAUUGCAACUGCAACAUCAGUCUCUAGGAUCCCCCAAAGUGCCUUUUUCGCAAAUUCCCUCUUUUAAACCUUACAUCUCUGAGGCUCUGAAUAUAGAAAGACAAUUAGUCCACCAGGGAAGCGACGGUGGUGUAGUUCAAAAGAAGAGUGGCAGGGAAACAAAACUCAGACUGCAGAAGUGGCAAGCCUCCACGCCCUGCCAAGCGGACCUUACUGAACCUACUGGAUUUCAAAAAACGAGGUUGAAUGAUGAUGCAGGACAUGCGUGUUUUGUGUGAUAUGAGGAACAUCAGAAGAUAUUUUGUCCCCAAAAAGAUGCCUGCCAACUUCACAGUGCUGUGCUGUGCUAAGCUGCUUCAGUCGUGUCUGAUUCUUUGCGACCCCAUGGACUCUAGCCCACCAGGCUUCUCCGUCCAUGGGAUUCUCCAGGCAAGAGUACUGGAGUGUGUUGGGGUCAGCCUCAAAUACUAGCAGUUCUACUUCUAGAACUGCACUGGCCAAAACUGUCCAAGAUACAAAUCGAACCGAGUACUUGAAAUGUGGCUAGUUCAAAUUGAGAUGUCUUAUUAGCAUAAUAUGCUUACCAGAUUCUGAAGACUUAGAAUUUAAACUAUCUCAUUAGUAUUAUAUAUUGUGAUUAUAAGUUUUUAAAAUAUUUUUGAUAUAUUGAAUUAAAUAUAUUAAUUCACUCUGUGCCUUUUUAUUUAUAAAAUGUAGCUUCUAGAAAAUUUAAAAAAUUAUAUUUCUACCAAACCGCACUGUUCCAGAAGGUUACCAGAUCCAUGGAUUUGAUUUGGUGGCACUAGUGGUAAACAUCCAAGUGGAAGAUCCAAGGGAUCUUCCCAACCCAGGGAUCGAACCCAGGUCUUCCUCACUGCAGGCAGACACUUUACCAUCUGAGUCACCAGGGAAGCCCCAGUGGUAAAGAGCCUGUCUGCCAAUGCAGGAGACGUAAGAGAGACAGAUUCUAUUCCUGGGUUGGGAAGAUGCCCUGGAGAAGGAAAUGGCAACCCACUCCAGUAUUCUUGCCUGAAGAAUUCCAUGGACAGAGGAGCCUGGUGGGUUACAGUCCAUGGGGUCGCAAAGAGUCACACACGACUUAAAUGACUGAGCACACAUUCAAAUGCAAUAUUCUUGCAUUUGCAAUAAUACAUUUAAAUUUAUCAUCAUUGUGUGUGUCUAGAAAUGGAAAGUGGGGAGUCGAGAUAUGACGAGAAGUUUCUCCUCACUCAUCAGCUUUUUAAAGUCCUGACUCUAACAUUAGUCUUGAAAUUCACGUGACAAUCUUCUUUAAGGAACAAGCACUCAUCUGAGGCUUCCUAGGUGGUGCUAGUGGUAAAGAACCUGCCUGCCAAUUCAGGAGAUGUAAGAGACAUGGGUUUGAUCCCUGGGUUGGGAAGAUCCCCUGGAGGAGGGCAUGUCAACCCACCCCAGUAUUCUUGCCUGGAGAGUCCCCUGCACAGAGGAGCCU
rnacentral:lncRNA from 1 species